rnacentral:sRNA from 1 species
UUGUUUGGGAAUUCCUAUAAAAACACGACUCUAAAUGCGAUUAACAUCCUAAGGAUUAGGCAACAGAAAAGCAAAAACAGGGAACCUAACAAACCGGAAAACGCGACGCGACGCGAAGGACGAACAACGAAUAACGAGGAGCGCGGAGGACGCGACUUGAACACAACCGACCUGUCCGGAUUGCACUCGAUAACUGUGUCAGCCUCUGGCGGCGGAAUGCCUAGAGAGUCCGACCAGGACUCAGGAGGCUCGGUUGGUCUCAGGUUGCGGCGAACCCUCCACCGAAGCAGCACCAUCCAAGCUAGGAGAUGCGGGAGAGCAGAGCGGUUGUAUCCUGGAAUAUCCUGGCUGAAGACGCGACGAAGAUAACCGCCGUCGUGCGCUGGGGGGUGGAAAGACCGCCGAAAAGUAACCCUGAACAGCCAAGGAUAAUACUGUGCCAAAUCGAAGGACUCUGCUCUCCGUUUUUCUAUUAUUUUCUUUUUUUUUUUUCGUAGACGAUUUAACUUUUUGUUUGGCCAGCAAACGACGCGGGGUGGAAAAGCGCUGGCGGCACGGAGUUUCCUUCCAUGAAUGAGUGAGUGAAUUUUCGAUGCCGGGGAAAACGCGGAUGUGCUGCAAGCCAACGCGAAAAAAGGAUAGAAAAUUCACAAAAAAAAAAUAGGUACAGUAAAACUUGCAAUUAUUAUGAGCUAUUAGGACAGCGAAAAAACAACUUUUAUUUCCAAGAAAACGAUUUGAUGGACACGGCCAUUAGUAAAGUUUAUAGAAAUUCAAGUGAAAUGGCGUUUCACUGGAAAAGAGUUAAUCAUGAUUGAAGUUUCAGCUUUUCAAAUGCUACAUACUUAAUUUUAGUAUCAUACUUUAAAUAAUUUCCCCUUUAUAUUGGAGCAUAAAUGUUAGCUGAACGAAGUAACAUCUACUUAAAUAUUAUUACCCCUGAACGCAACCACUAAUUUCAUUUCGCACAAGUACAGUUUGGCCUAUUUAAAAAGUCACUUUCCACUUAAUUUUCCUCGCUUUCGUUUCCCCCUCUUGGCGAUUUCCACCGAUUUGCAUUUUCCACGCUCUUUAACGCUCCAUUAUAUAGUACAUCGAAGGAGAAUUUCAAAUGGAUAUGGAAAUUGGCGACAAGCAGCGCGGCUGGCGAUUAAAAAACAGUUUAUAAAUCAUCGAUGUCAGUGGCAGUUCGUGCACAGAUUUUCCCCCUCUAAGUUUUUCCUUUUUUAUAGAUUGUUAUGUUCUUACAAAUCUGCAUAUGGAUGGCAGAAAAUUGCAUACUUAACUGUGGGUUGCCGCAUGCAGUUUCUUUUAAUGGGGUGCAGCAACCCUCUUCGAAGAUCCGAUCCAUUCGGUUCCGUUUCGAUACGAUUGCUUUUUCCACGCGGAAAACUCAUUUCAAUCAUUAUUAAAAUUUCCUAUUUACAUUUCUAUUGAAACGAAUGAAAAUGUGGAAGGGGAAAGCGCACCUAAGGUACUAAGAAAA